UGCAGAGCCUCAAACAGAUU
rnacentral:piRNA from 1 species